ACUCCUACGGGAGGCAGCAGUGGGGAAUAUUGGACAAUGGGGGAAACCCUGAUCCAGCCAUGCCGCGUGCUGUGAAGAAGGCCUUCGGGUUGUAAAGACACUUUCAGUGGGGAGGAAAGGUUGAAUGGUUAAAUACCUAUCAGACUGUGACGUUACCUACAGAAGAAGCACCGGCUAACUCCGUGCCAGCAGCCGCGGUAAUACGGAGGGUGCAAGCGUUAAUCGGAAUUACUGGGCGUAAAGCGCAUGCAGGCGGCCUGUUAAGUCAGAUUGUGAAAGCCCGGGGCUUAACCUCGGAAUUGCAUUUGAAACUGGCAGGCUAGAGUCUUGUAGAGGGGGUAGAAUUUCAGUGUAGCGGUGAAAUGCGUAGAGAUCUGAAGGAAUACCAGUGGCGAAGGCGGCCCCCCUGGACAAAGACUGA
rnacentral:rRNA from 1 species